rnacentral:lncRNA from 1 species
ACGUCAUUGGAAUGCAACUGCAAUACACAUUCUGAGGUCACGCAGGUUCAUACAAUACUCAGUCCGGCAGUGGGCGGAGCUUUAAAGCGAUAUCUGUAUAGUAUACAGAUACAGCAUAGCGAUAUAUGUAGGGCUGUUUCUGUAUAGUAGAACACCCAAUUGCAGGAUAAAUAGAAAUAUACGGUCAACGCAGUUUGACUGCUCAAAUAGAACGAGUGCAGUAUAA